rnacentral:rRNA from 1 species
CCUACGGGCGGCAGCAGUGGGGGAUAUUGCACAAUGGGGGGAACCCUGAUGCAGCGACGCCGCGGGGGUGAAGAAGCGCCUCGGCGCGUAAAGCCCUGUCAGCAGGGAAGAAAAAGACGGUACCUGAAGAAGAAGCCCCGGCUAACUACGUGCCAGCAGCCGCGGUAAUACGUAGGGGGCAAGCGGUAUCCGGAUUUACUGGGGGGAAAGGGGGCGCAGACGGGGAUGCAAGCCAGGAGUGAAAGCCCGGGGCCCAACCCCGGGACUGCUCUUGGAAAUGCGUGGCUGGAGUGCAGGAGGGGCAGGCGGAAUUCCUGGUGUAGCGGUGAAAUGCGUAGAUAUCAGGAGGAACACCGGUGGCGAAGGCGGCCUGCUGGACUGCAACUGACGUUGAGGCCCGAAAGCGUGGGGAGCAAACAGGAUUAGAUACCCUAGUAGUC